rnacentral:lncRNA from 1 species
UAUUUCGCAAUUCUUGGCAUAAUAAACAAAGUUUUUUCCUCCAUUCUGCUAAGUCUAAAUCCAAUAUGCGUCUGUAUAUUUUUUACAAUACUACAAAAGAAAAUUAAUCAUAGCUUAAAUGCUAAAUUUUAUUUUUCACAAUUGACUUUCUAAAUUUACCUUGGUUUUUAUUAUGUAACACUAUUAGAGAAGAACGUUAUUGUUCACACCUCUGUCAGUCCACUGUCCUUGAUUUCUCUCCCUAACUAUUGAUAUAAUGGAUCCAUCUUCUCCCUUGUAAAUCCACAACACUCGCACAAAAUAUUUGACCAUCUUCACUUCAUUCGUGUUCGCCUUUGCUUGUGCUUUAGUUUCAAUAACUUUAGUCACUUAUUUCCUCAUCAUUAUCAGUGUUAUUACUCAUUUUUAUCACCUGAAAAAAUAAGCUUUUAAAAGGAUAGUCCAGUGCACUAAAGUUUCUGCUAUGCGCAGGGUUCGAGAAAGGGCCCUAUCACAAGGGUCCAUUGUAUGCACCCUUACCAUUUUGAAAUUCAAAACACAUCGUCAGAAUCUAUUAAUAAUGUGAUUGGCAGUUCCAUCAUGAAAGCAAAACAUAGGUGCAAUACAUAUAUGUGAGAAAGCAAAAUCAUCUCAUUUUUCUUGAUGGAUGAAUAUUAACUUCUUGAUGGAUGAAUCAAAAAAUGGCUACUUAAUCAUACAACAUAAAAAUAUUAACUUCUUGAUGGAUGAUUCAAAAAAUGACUACUUAUAAAACGAAAAAACGGGCACACUUGAUAGGCUAUUCCUACAUAUACCAUAAUAUUUUUCUGAAGCUACUAAAACUCUUCUUAGCCAAAUCAAUAACUCAAUAACAAUGCUAAAAUCUGUAAGAACAGAAAAUCAUGGGAAAAUAUUUUCGAACAUUUUUUUUUCAAUAUUGAUGGAAAUCUCAUUGUGUAGCCAAUCAAUUAUUUUUAGUUUACAAUUUUAAAAAUAUCAACUCACUCUCUCGGACCAAUAGUCAAUCAUUCUAUUAUCCAACAUCCAAGGAAUUAGAAGAAACCACAAGAUCUUUUGAAAUAUUCAAUGAAAGCAUUUUAGCAUUAUCCCGCAUCGACAGAAUUGGAAAUGAAUAAGUAUAAUAAAAAUAAAUUACGAAUUAAAGUUGCUGCCUAAAACGUGGAAUUGUUAGUAAUUUUUUAUUUUUUAGUCUACACACUUUUUUCGGGUAUGAAUUUACCAUCAAUAUAGAAAUGAUUAGUAAUAUUCAAUAGACUUCUUGUAUACUUAAGUUUCUUGAUAUUUGACUCCAUAUUAGUAUUACAUUGAUAUCUUUAAAAUAAGAAAUUAAAGAAAAAAAUUCCCACCCAGAUUCCUCUUACAAUAUAUAUUCAUUGUUCCAAAUAUUGAUUCAGAAUAGAACUGGAAAAAAAUAUGGACAUAAAAAAUAUUAAAGUAACUAUACAAAAGAACAUUUUAAUAAAUAAUACCUGCGUAGAAUUGGGUAACGAUUCAGACAAAUGAGUGCGACGACGAAAUGUCCAUGCAUAUGAAUCGAUUGCCCAUUUCUUUCCAAUUUAUAUUCCCCACAAAACCCACAUUUGUUUUGCUAAAAAAUAUAUGAAAUUGAACCACUAAAAUUGAUUUGUUGGGAAAACCCAAAGAAGUUUCGGCAAUCGAAAAAAGAAAUUCUACAAAGAAAAUUUACUUUUUGGAAUUUGAUGAAGAGUUGCUUUGUCUAUGAGGGGAAGAGAAGUUUCCUUCAAAUAGAUAUAUAACAUUUUUAUCGGUUGUAAAUAUGUGGAAAAUUUAAAUUGACAGUUUUCU